GCCUGGGUGGCUCAGUCGGUUAAGCGUCCGACUUCAACUCAGGUCACGAUCUCGCGGUCCGUGAGUUCAAGCCCCGCUUCGGGCU
rnacentral:tRNA from 1 species